rnacentral:rRNA from 1 species
GUAGGUGGCAAGCGUUGUCCGGAAUUAUUGGGCGUAAAGCGCGCGCAGGCGGUUCUUUAAGCCUGAUGUGAAAGCCCACGGCUCAACCGUGGAGGGUCAUUGGAAACUGGAGAACUUGAGUACAGAAGAGGAAAGCGGAAUUCCACGUGUAGCGGUGAAAUGCGUAGAGAUGUGGAGGAACACCAGUGGCGAAGGCGGCUUUCUGGUCUGUAACUGACGCUGAGGCGCGAAAGCGUGGGGAGCAAACAGGAUUAGAUACCCUGGUAGUCCACGCCGUAAACGAUGAGUGCUAAGUGUUAGGGGGUUUCCGCCCCCCUUAGUGCUGCAGCUAACGCAUUAAGCACUCCGCCUGGGAGUACGGCCGCAAGGCUG